rnacentral:rRNA from 1 species
ACAGAACUAGAGAUAGUUCCUCUUCUUCGGAAGCCAGAAAACAGGUGGUGCACGGUUGUCGUCAGCUCGUGUCGUGAGAUGUUGGGUUAAGUCCCGCAACGAGCGCAACCCCUAUCUUAUGUUGCCAGCACGUAAAGGUGGGAACUCAUGAGAGACUGCCGCAGACAAUGCGGAGGAAGGCGGGGAUGACGUCAAAUCAUCAUGCCCCUUAUGACCUGGGCUACACACGUACUACAAUGGGAGUUAAUAGACGGAAGCGAGAUCGCGAGAUGGAGCAAACCCGAGAAACACUCUCUCAGUUCGGAUCGUAGGCUGCAACUCGCCUACGUGAAGUCGGAAUCGCUAGUAAUCGCAGGUCAGCAUACUGCGGUGAAUACGUUCCCGGGCCUUGUACACACCGCCCGUCACACCACGAAAGUCGGAAGUGCCCAAAGCCGGUGGG